rfam:Glossina austeni unplaced genomic scaffold Scaffold15, whole genome shotgun sequence.
GACUUAUAUAAUUUUGAUUGUUGCUCAGAAAGCCCUUAUUUUCAUAUCAGUUGGCUUUCGAGCAUCAAUCAAAAACAAAUAAGUU